AAGGACUUAAGUUAAAGAAACUAAUAACCUUCAAAGUUAUAAUUAAAAUCCUGUUUUAGGCCUUA
rnacentral:tRNA from 1 species